AAAUUAUUUUCUGUCUUUUCGGUUUCGGAGGUGUCUCUCGUGUCUUUCGAUCAAGUCUGUAUUGAUUCGUGCUGCACCCAAACACAACCAUUUUUCUCGGUAUUUCUGUGGCUGUCGUGGACAUUACGCACAGAUUCCGGUGGUGAGUAUUUGUCUACUGAGUUUCAAGCAUUCUUGGCUUCUAAGGGUAUUAUUCAUCAACGUUCAUGUCCCUCUACUCCUCAACAAAAUGGAGUUGUCGAACGCAAAAAUCGUCAUCUCUUAGACGUGCAGUUCUCAGAUCUUCAUCCAGUUAGUUCUCGCUUUCAACCAGGUAUUAUGUAUAUGAGACGUUCCCGCCCAUAGUCUCUUUUGGUGGCUCACCCGAUAUCUGAUCCUACCAUGCUCCAGAUUCAGUCAAUUGCAGUACCUCCAACACCUUUAGUACGUCGCUCUCCUCGAGUGUUUGUACCUCCGAAUAGGUAUGGAUUUCCCUCUUCCAGUUCUGGCAAUUCUAUUUCAGCCCUUACUAUUGCAUUGUCCAAUUUUGAUAUUCCCACAUGCUACUCACAUGUUGCCAAGCAUGAUUGUUGGCAACAAGCUAUGCAGGAAGAAAUUGCCGCUCUAGAGGCCAAUCACACUUGGAACAUUGAGCCCUGUCCUCCCAUUAUUGUUCCUCUAGGUUGCAAAUGGGUUUACUUAGUCAAGGUCUGAUCUGAUGGAAGUUUGGAUCGUUACAAAGUUCGGCUUGUUGCACUUGGGAAUAAUCAGGAAUAUGGUGUCAAUUAUUAAGAGACUUUUGCUCUUGUGGCUAAAAUGACUAUUGUUCGUACGAUUCUAGCUCUUGCUGCUUCAAUGAUUGGCCACUACAUUAAAUGGAUGUAAAAAAUGUUUUUCGUCAUGGGGAUCUUAAAGAGUGUAUUUAUAUGAAGCCACCAUCGGGAUUGUAUCCCUCUCUGACUUCACAUGUGUGUAAGCUUCGUCACUCUCUUUAUUGUCUCAAACAGGCUCCGAGGGCCUAGUUUGAUAAAUUCCGCACCACUUUAUUACAAUUUUCAUUCAGGCAGAGCAAGUAUGACAUUUCCUUAUUUCUUUGAAAAUCAGACAUGAGUAUUGUUGUUCUUUUGGUUUA